rnacentral:rRNA from 2 species
AACGAGCUUCCGUUGAAUGACGUGCUUGCACUGAUUUCAACAAUGAAGCGAGUGGCGAACUGGUGAGUAACACGUGGGGAAUCUGCCCAGAAGCAGGGGAUAACACUUGGAAACAGGUGCUAAUACCGUAUAACAACAAAAUCCGCAUGGAUUUUGUUUGAAAGGUGGCUUCGGCUAUCACUUCUGGAUGAUCCCGCGGCGUAUUAGUUAGUUGGUGAGGUAAAGGCCCACCAAGACGAUGAUACGUAGCCGACCUGAGAGGGUAAUCGGCCACAUUGGGACUGAGACACGGCCCAAACUCCUACGGGAGGCAGCAGUAGGGAAUCUUCCACAAUGGACGAAAGUCUGAUGGAGCAAUGCCGCGUGAGUGAAGAAGGGUUUCGGCUCGUAAAACUCUGUUGUUAAAGAAGAACACCUUUGAGAGUAACUGUUCAAGGGUUGACGGUAUUUAACCAGAAAGCCACGGCUAACUACGUGCCAGCAGCCGCGGUAAUACGUAGGUGGCAAGCGUUGUCCGGAUUUAUUGGGCGUAAAGCGAGCGCAGGCGGUUUUUUAAGUCUGAUGUGAAAGCCUUCGGCUUAACCGGAGAAGUGCAUCGGAAACUGGGAGACUUGAGUGCAGAAGAGGACAGUGGAACUCCAUGUGUAGCGGUGGAAUGCGUAGAUAUAUGGAAGAACACCAGUGGCGAAGGCGGCUGUCUAGUCUGUAACUGACGCUGAGGCUCGAAAGCAUGGGUAGCGAACAGGAUUAGAUACCCUGGUAGUCCAUGCCGUAAACGAUGAGUGCUAAGUGUUGGAGGGUUUCCGCCCUUCAGUGCUGCAGCUAACGCAUUAAGCACUCCGCCUGGGGAGUACGACCGCAAGGUUGAAACUCAAAGGAAUUGACGGGGGCCCGCACAAGCGGUGGAGCAUGUGGUUUAAUUCGAAGCUACGCGAAGAACCUUACCAGGUCUUGACAUCUUCUGCCAAUCUUAGAGAUAAGACGUUCCCUUCGGGGACAGAAUGACAGGUGGUGCAUGGUUGUCGUCAGCUCGUGUCGUGAGAUGUUGGGUUAAGUCCCGCAACGAGCGCAACCCUUAUUAUCAGUUGCCAGCAUUCAGUUGGGCACUCUGG